ACCCUGGGUGGCAUUGGAUGACUUUCAACAGCAUUUACUUUAGCAGAGAUUCGUAUCAGUUUUAUGUGGUAAAGCUAAUGAUUAGAAGCCUUGGGGUUGAAACAGCCUUAACUUAUUCUCAAACUUUAAAUAUCUAAGCUCAGUGUACUUUCUUAAUUGAAGCCACUGUAAAUGAGAGUCUCUAGUGGGCCAUUCAUCACAUUUUCUGUCAUCAUCUUUGGUUGGUUUUAUAGACAUAUUUAAACUUAGGUUAGUAGUGAAGACAAUCUUGGCAUAUAUAGCAGAGGGCCCUGAUAGUUAGCAGGGACCCUGUCUAAAGAUCCUAGAUAGAUGUUAGUGGACCCUGAGACCCUGAUGACAUAAGACUGACAUAAUGUGUCCAAAUAUGGAAGUUAUGUCAGUCUUAUGUCAUCAGGGUCUCAGGGUCCACUAACAUCUAUCUAGCAUCUUUAGACAGUGUCCCUACUAAUUAUCAGGACCCUCUGCUAUAUAUGCCAAGAUUGUCUUCACUACUAACCUAAGUCUAAAUAUGUAUAUAAAACCAACCAAAGAUGAUGACAAAAAAUGUGAUGUUUCUGGUAUGCAGAACUGUUGAUGCAGGAUGAACCAAAUGCAAUGUUAAGGUGCCAGAAUAUACGCUCAUCAGACACCACAAAAGGUGUUAGUUCAUCUAGACAGCAGGACUAGUCAUCUCAGCCUGGAUUCCAGUGCAGCUGGAUCCAUGGAAAUUCUGGCACCUUUCUGUUUCAUUUCCAGGCCCUGGAUCACAGGCCCAGAAUUGGAGGAGCUAGUCAUAUUCUGGAAAUACUGCUGGAUUCUGGCAAAACCCUGGGUCACACCCAGAAUGCCAAGGUAAGUUAAGUUCCACCACAUUCAUAUGUAAGUAGUACCAGAAAAUAGAGCAUCAUUCAGGCUUUAUUUUGAUACCUAACAUAUCCCAAACAAAAAUUAUCUGGAGGAGUUAUGCACCUCACUGGUCAGGGGUGCCCCUGGGGCUGAAGGACUGGGUUGGGAGCCAAAUUCAAGUAUACUUCAUGGAAUAUUAUCAUGUAAGUAUUGGCCAGUGUGCAAGGUCCUUGCUUCCUAAUAGUAUUUCAAUAUCUAGUCUCAACUCCCCAAACCUGGGUCUAGAGGGGGGAAAUACCAAUGAAACACUAGGUUACCCCUGAGAAGCACCACAUGCACUAAGGAAUCUAGCCAUAGGAUUGUCGUCCCCUUGUUGGAAACAGUUGGAGACUGUUCAAAUAGUAUAUCUACAAAGUUUCAUGCUGAUUGAAGGUCAGGAAGGGGGGGAAAUAGCCUGAAAGAGGGGGUGCGCACCUCCUGGAAUAUUUUCUGAAUAGUAAUCUGCUGUGGACUCUGUGGGUAAUAUGGCUAUGAGGCUGCAGCAUAUAUCAUUAGACUCCCCUGAAUUUCCUGCAUGUAUUGAGCUAUUGUGCAACUGGGGGUGAUUGUUACUUCCAAAUGUGCUCCUGAGAGCAUGUGUUCCACUUGUGUUUCAUCUAUGUACCCUGGGGGGUACAAGUUCAGAUGAUUGCAGGCCAGCUAAUAAUUAUACAAAAAUAUGUAUGGGGGUUUCCAGCUAGGCUGAACACAGUGGUGACCCUCAAUUUGCCUGAAUAUGUUCGCAUUACAGUGAUUCUGAGGGUGCGCACUUAGGGUAUUAUUUCCUUGACAGUAUUUUGGAUUGAUCUACCUCAGAUAAAUUUUAUUUCACCAAACUAAAGGUACCAUUGAACUUAGCUAAAUUUUCUCUAUUUAAUAGGCUAUCUAAAAUUACAAUGUGGUGUGAACACCCAUGGGUCAACACAAGAUCCCUGGAAAACUGGCAUCUGGUGCCCAGUGUAGGGGCCCAGAGUUGGGGACAGGUCUUGAGUGCCAGAUCCAUGCCCUCAGUGCUGGAUCUGGGAAAAAUUCCAGGGCAACAUCUCUACAGCAGGACGGUGGCCAUGGAAGUCGGAAUCCGCUAAGGAGUGUGUAACAACUCACCUGCCGAAUGAACUAGCCCUGAAAAUGGAUGGCGCUCAAGCGUGUUACCCAUACCUUGCCAUCAACUCUUGAGCCAUGCAUAGAUAAGUAGGCAGGCGUGGAGGUUUGUGACGAAGCCUUGGCAGUGAUGCUGGGUGAAACAGCCUCUAGUGCAGAUCUUGGUGGUAGUAGCAAAUAUUCAAGUGAGAACCUUGAAGACUGAAGUGGAGAAAGGUUCCAUGGAUCAAUUAACAAGAUUCCCACUGUCCCCAUCUACUAAUUUGCAUAGCUGAGCAGUUCAACACUCACUAAGGUGUGGGUC
rnacentral:ncRNA from 1 species